AUACGUAGGGUGCAAGCGUUGUCCGGAAUUACUGGGCGUAAAGAGUUCGUAGGCGGUUUGUCGCGUCGUUUGUGAAAACCAGCAGCUCAACUGCUGGCUUGCAGGCGAUACGGGCAGACUUGAGUACUGCAGGGGAGACUGGAAUUCCUGGUGUAGCGGUGAAAUGCGCAGAUAUCAGGAGGAACACCGGUGGCGAAGGCGGGUCUCUGGGCAGUAACUGACGCUGAGGAACGAAAGCGUGGGUAGCGAACAGGA
rnacentral:rRNA from 1 species